UCCGAGUUGACCCCGGCAGUCUCCUGCGAGUCCCCGCCAUUACGCGCUGGCAACACAGGACAAGGGUUGCGCUCGUUGCGGGACUUAACCCAACAUCUCACGACACGAGCUGACGACAGCCAUGCAGCACCUGUCUCCGGUCCAGCCGAACUGAAAGGAUCCAUCUCUGGUUCCCGCGACCGGGAUGUCAAGGGCUGGUAAGGUUCUGCGCGUUGCUUCGAAUUGAACCACAUGCUCCACCGCUUGUGCGGGCCCCCGUCAAUUCCUUUGAGUUUCAGCCUUGCGGCCGUACUCCCCAGGCGGGACACUUGCUGCGUUAGCGACGGCACCGAGGGGGUCGCUCCCCCCGACGCCUAGUGUCCAUCGUUUACGGCGUGGACUAC
rnacentral:misc_RNA from 1 species